UACGUAGGGUGCGAGCGUUGUCCGGAAUUAUUGGGCGUAAAGAGCUCGUAGGCGGCUUGUCGCGUCGGAUGUGAAAGCCCGGGGCUUAACUCCGGGUCUGCAUUCGAUACGGGCAGGCUAGAGUUCGGUAGGGGAGAUCGGAAUUCCUGGUGUAGCGGUGAAAUGCGCAGAUAUCAGGAGGAACACCGGUGGCGAAGGCGGUUCUCUGGGCCUUACCUGACGCUGAGGAGCGAAAGCGUGGGGAGCGAACAGG
rnacentral:rRNA from 1 species